AUUGAACGCUGGCGGCAUGCUUUACACAUGCAAGUCGAACGGCAGCACAGCAGAGGUAACUCUGUGGGUGGCGAGUGGCGAACGGGUGAGUAAUACAUCGGAACGUACCCUGUUGUGGGGGAUAACUACGCGAAAGCGUAGCUAAUACCGCAUACGCCCUGAGGGGGAAAGCGGGGGACCCUAAAUAGAGCGCACUGGGGAGUGCGUUGUAUUUAGGGCCUCGCGCAAUAGGAGCGGCCGAUGUCGGAUUAGCUAGUUGGUGAGGUAAAGGCUUACCAAGGCGACGAUCCGUAGCUGGUCUGAGAGGAUGAUCAGCCACACUGGGACUGAGACACGGCCCAGACUCCUACGGGAGGCAGCAGUGGGGAAUUUUGGACAAUGGGCGAAAGCCUGAUCCAGCCAUGCCGCGUGAGUGAUGAAGGUCUUCGGAUCGUAAAGCUCUGUGGGAAGGGACGGAAAAAGACCGACCUAAUACGUCGGAGCUUGACGGUA
rnacentral:rRNA from 1 species